CCUACGGGAGGCUGCAGUGGGGAAUAUUGCUCAAUGGUGGAAACCCUGAUCCAGCAACGCCGCGUGACGGAAGACGGUUUUCGGAUUGUAAACUUCUGUUCUUAGUGAAGAAUCAUGACGGUACCUGAGUAAGAAGCCCCGGCUAACUACGUGCCAGCAGCCGCGGUAAUACGUAGGGGGCAAGCGUUAUCCGGAUUUACUGGGUGUAAAGGGAGCGUAGACGGUGAUGCAAGCCAGAUGUGAACGCCCUCGGCUCAACUGCGGUAGUGCAUUUGGAACUGUAUGGCUGGAGUGCAGGAGAGGCAGGCGGAAUUCCUGGUGUAGCGGUGAAAUGCGAAGAUAUUAGGAGGAAAACCAGUGGCGAAGGCGGCCUGCUGGACUGUAACUGACGUUGAGGCUCGAAAGCGUGGGGAGCGAACAGGAUUAGAUACCCCUGUAGUC
rnacentral:rRNA from 1 species